UUUCCGUAGGUGAACCUGCGGAAGGAUCAUUAUCGAAAUACUUAUUUAGCGUUCCGUGCUAUCCCAUUGUUUUAUUUACCCUGUUGCUUCCACUGGAUGAGUUUCCAUACCUUGUGUUUGAGAAACUUUGGCUUGUGUAAGAUUCAUUCACGGCCAGCCAGUGAGAAGACCAUUUACAAAACCCUGUUAAGAACCAAUUGUCUGAAUAUUUUACUCCAAUGAAAUAAAACUCUCAACAACGGAUCUCUAGGCUCUUGCAUCGAUGGAGAACGCAGC
rnacentral:misc_RNA from 1 species